rnacentral:rRNA from 1 species
UGGUUAAUCUUGCGCAAUGGGCGAACGCCUGUCGCAGCGACGCCGCGUGAGUGAUGAAGGCCUUCGGGUUGUAAAGCUCUGUGGGGAGAGACGAAUAAGUCGUGGCCAACAUCCACGAUGAUGACGGUAUCUCCUUAGCAAGCACCGGCUAACUCUGUGCCAGCAGCCGCGGUAAUACAGAGGGUGCAAACGUUGUUCGGAAUUACUGGGCGUAAAGCGCGUGUAGGCGGUCCCGUAGGUCAGGUGUGAAAUCCCCCGGCUCAACCGAGGAAGUGCACUUGAAACCCCAGGACUUGAGUGUCGGAGAGGAAGGCGGAAUUGUCGGUGUAGAGGUGAAAUUCGUAGAUAUCGACAGGAACACCUGCGGCGAAAGCGGCCUUCUGGACGAACACUGACGCUGAGACGCGAAAGCGUGGGGAGCAAACA